rnacentral:rRNA from 1 species
AACGAACGCUGGCGGCAGGCCUAACACAUGCAAGUCGAGCGCGCCCUUCGGGGUGAGCGGCGGACGGGUGAGUAACGCGUGGGAACGUGCCCUUCUCUGCGGAAUAGCCUCGGGAAACUGAGAGUAAUACCGCAUACGCCCUUUGGGGGAAAGAUUUAUCGGAGAGGGAUCGGCCCGCGUUGGAUUAGGUAGUUGGUGGGGUAAUGGCUCACCAAGCCGACGAUCCAUAGCUGGUUUGAGAGGAUGAUCAGCCACACUGGGACUGAGACACGGCCCAGACUCCUACGGGAGGCAGCAGUGGGGAAUCUUAGACAAUGGGGGCAACCCUGAUCUAGCCAUGCCGCGUGAGUGAUGAAGGCCUUAGGGUUGUAAAGCUCUUUCAGCUGGGAAGAUAAUGACGGUACCAGCAGAAGAAGCCCCGGCUAACUCCGUGCCAGCAGCCGCCGUAAGAC